rnacentral:piRNA from 1 species
UGGAAAAUGUUGUCUCCUAGCUUACGAUG